rnacentral:lncRNA from 1 species
AGACUAUCGUUCGAUCUAUCCUCCUUUUCUCCUCCGCUCGUCCAUUCGACGUUUCGUCUCUCUUCUCGCUCGCUGAUCUACGAAACUCGCGAGGGACCCCCGGAGGCCUCGCCCCGCCGCUGUCCGACCUCACUGCUCGUUGUCUCGGGGGGCCCCCAAGCUGUUUUGUCCCGUCAGUCCCGGGCGCGCAAUGCGAUAUCUAUGGGUUUCUUUUGGGGCCUUGUGUCGAAGCCGCCAUUAUACCGGAGAGAGAGAGGUCCUCCCCUCGACUCCGCCGACCCUCUCCUUGCACGAAUACGGGUUCGAAGUGUAGUUCACAGGAACGUCAGGCCGCAGCCAACGACGACGGCGACGAAGAAGACGAAGACGACGAGGGCGAGUGGCGGCGGCGAGGACGACGCGCGCGUACGAGUGCAAGCGCUUCUGGGAUUGUUUUUCUCCGUCUUCCUUUUUUUCAAAGAGGAUGUGUGCGCCUCGUGCGUCAAAAACCAGGGAGGCAGGAAGAAGAGGAAAACGAGGUGGAGAAGGAGGAGGGAGAGAGCGAGCGCUAGAAUCCCGCGCUCUCCCGGAUCUCUAGUUGGGCUAUUCACGGCGGUACGCGCUUUCGAAAGGGAUGAAAGGGUAACGCGGUACCGCGGCGACUGUCCUCUCGUCGUCCCUUCGGACCCUCCUUUUGGCAGCGUGCGAGGAAAGAAAGGAAGAGGUUCAAGAGACAGAAGCGGCGGCGGCGCUUUCUGUACACGAGAACUCCUUUCGUCCCUACCUCUUCCUCUCUUCUUAAGCAGCCUAAUUAUUGCCCUAUCGACAUAGAUUUCUCAGAUCGGAUUACGCAGCGCUCUGACACCCGUGAGCGUUCUCGAGACUCGUCGGGACCUUCAGUUGGACGCAAAAUCCUGUGGCGAUUCGCCGACAAGGGGAGAGACGUCAUUGUUCCUUGUAACAUAAUAAGAGGCAGAACAGAGUAUCACCUGAGACGCCACAAUGAAUGAAUCUGCGAACGAUGGAACCCGCAGGAUAUUUGCCCAAGCCUGUGCAUGAAAAAUGGUCAUUGGGCGGCGCUGAACGUGACAGGGCAAUACGAGGGAACUCGUUCGGCCGUUCAUCGGACGUAAUGUUGCCGUUUGUCGCUAACACAUGAAUAUCCAAACGCACGACACUCAUCGAUAAUUCAAUAUCGCACGUAGUAACGAUCGAGCCCGGCCUCUUUUGUCGUGGUAUGUCGCGCCAUAAUGACGCGUUUCCUCCGUCGUGAAAAUUUAAUUGAUCUACCAAGACCUUCCCACGAAGGACGGGCGCACAUUACAUUAAUAUGGGCCUCCGCGGCGUACCGGAAAUCGUCAGGAGUCCAUCAUUUCCCUCCGCGCGUUUGGACAAUUUAUAUUUUUGAUGUAAACGACGCUACGAGCGUAAUCGCUGUUGGAAAGGAAGCCGCAGGAGGGAACAGCAAAAUGACGCUACAGGCAUUGAAUCUGCAUAACACGACGAAUUCCUCACACAAAUCGCAAUGACGAUGAUGAAUCAAUAUUUAAAUAUACGGAGAACCCACGCAAAAUUUCGUCGGCCGAUUCGGAGAUAAUCCUGUUAUAGAUGCACAGGCAUUCACAAAAAAAGAUAUGAAAGAAUCUAAAUAGGCGCCGUACGACCUACACGAGUGAUUUCUUUGUUGCCGGUCGAAUAUAUGUGUCGCAAAGUUCUACGAGAAAA